AGCAGCCGCGGUAAUUCCAGCUCCAAUAGCGUAUAUUAAAGUUGUUGCAGUUAAAAAGCUCGUAGUUGAAUUUCGGGGUUAGUAGGUUGGUCAUGCCUCUGGUAUGUACUGGUCUCACUGAUUCCUCCUUCCUGAUGAGCCGUAAUGCCAUUAAUUUGGUGUUGCGGGGAAUUUGGACUGUUACUUUGAAAAAUUAGAGUGUUUAAAGCAAGCUAACGCUUGAAUACAUUAGCAUGGAAUAACGGAAUAGGACGUUUGAUUCUAUUUUGUUGGUUUCUAGGAUCGACGUAAUGAUUAAUAGGGAUAGUUGGGGGCAUUAGGUAUUCAAUUGUUCAGAGGUGAAAUUCUUGGAUUUAUUGAAGACUAACUAACUGUGAAAGCAUUUGCCAAGGUAUGUUUUCAUUAAUUCAAGAACGAAAGUUAGGGGAUCGAAGACGAUCAGAUACCGUCGUAGUCUUAACCAUAAACUAUGCGACUAGGGAUCGGAUGAUGUUAAUUUUUUAAUGUACUCG
rnacentral:rRNA from 1 species